rnacentral:rRNA from 1 species
CCUACGGGAGGCAGCAGUGGGGAAUAUUGCACAAUGGGGGAAACCCUGAUGCAGCGACGCCGCGUGAGUGAAGAAGGAUUUCGGUAUGUAAAGCUCUAUCAGCAGGGAAGAAAAUGACGGUACCUGAUUAAGAAGCCCCGGCUAACUACGUGCCAGCAGCCGCGGUAAUACGUAGGGGGCAAGCGUUAUCCGGAUUUACUGGGUGUAAAGGGAGCGUAGACGGCAGCACAAGUCUGGAGUGAAAUGCCUGGGCUUAACCCCGGUACUGCUUUGGAAACUGUGCAGCUAGAGUGCAGGAGAGGUAAGUGGAAUUCCUAGUGUAGCGGUGAAAUGCGUAGAUAUUAGGAGGAACACCAGUGGCGAAGGCGGCUUACUGGACUGUAACUGACGUUGAGGCUCGAAAGCGUGGGGAGCAAACAGGAUUAGAUACCCCAGUAGUC